AACUAGUUGCGGUGCGGAUUAUG
rnacentral:siRNA from 1 species